ACUCAAAUGAAUUGACGGGGGCCCGCACAAGCGGCGGAGCAUGUGGAUUAAUUCGAUGCAACGCGAAGAACCUUACCUGGGUUUGACAUGCACCAGAACACGGCAGAGAUGUUGUGGCCUUUGGGUUGGUGUGCAGGUGGUGCAUGGCUGUCGUCAGCUCGUGUCGUGAGAUGUUGGGUUAAGUCCCGCAACGAGCGCAACCCUCGUUCCAUGUUGCCAGCGGGUUAUGCCGGGGACUCAUGGGAGACUGCCGGGGUCAACUCGGAGGAAGGUGGGGAUGACGUCAAGUCAUCAUGCCCCUUAUGUCCAGGGCUUCACACAUGCUACAAUGGCCGAUACAGAGGGUUGCGAGACCGUGAGGUGGAGCGAAUCCCUUAAAGUUGGUCUCAGUUCGGAUCGGGGUCUGCAACUCGACCCCGUGAAGUCGGAGUCGCUAGUAAUCGCAGAUCAGCAAUGCUGCGGUGAAUACGUUCCCGGGCCUUGUACACACCGCCCGU
rnacentral:rRNA from 1 species